rfam:Macaca mulatta chromosome 16, whole genome shotgun sequence.
UGGCUUGAUUUCCUGGGGGGGUGGUCUCAGCCCACCCCACCUCCCCUCAGCCGAGCCUAGAGUAGAGGGGCCAGGCAUUCUCCCCAGGGGAGAGGUGUUGAAGCAAGGAACCUCUCCUGGGCUGUCCUAGCCUCACAUUU